UCGGGAAUUUUGGGCAAUGGGCGAAAGCCUGACCCAGCAACGCCGCGUGAAGGAUGAAGUAUUUCGGUAUGUAAACUUCGAAAGAAUAGGAAGAAUAAAUGACGGUACUAUUUAUAAGCUCCGGCUAACUACGUGCCAGCAGCCGCGGUAAUACGUAGGGAGCAAGCGUUGUUCGGAUUUACUGGGCGUAAAGGGCGCGUAGGCGGCGCGGUAAGUCACUUGUGAAAUCUCUGAGCUUAACUCAGAACGGCCAAGUGAUACUGCAGUGCUAGAGUGCAGAAAGGGCAAUCGGAAUUCUUGGUGUAGCGGUGAAAUGCGUAGAUAUCGGGAGGAACACCAGUGGCGAAGGCGACUUUCUGGGACAUUCCUGACGCUGAGGAGCGAAAGCGUGGGGAGCAAACG
rnacentral:rRNA from 1 species